AUCACCUUUGACGAGCAAAAAGCCUGUGUUGUGCUACCAGCUUUCUAAUAGUCUUCAAUUCUUAGUCAGACUUUCCCUGAUCAUAGACGCCACUUUGGUCUUUAGCUUUGCCAAGUUUAAAGCCAAAUACUUCAAGUUUUCUGGAGAAAAGCGAGGUGCUUUUCUUAAGUCAGUGUACACGCCUUCCCAUGACUGUCAGGCUGAUGAGACACCAGACUAUUUUAUGGUCAACACCUCUUUGGAGACCUGCCAGAGAGGACAGAGAAGGGGAAAGCUGCUGUCCUGGGCCCAGACUGGAGUGAGCGAGAACAGUGGCAGAAAUAAUUCAGAAGGGCUUCAUUCUCAGUCCCUCACCUCCUUGUUUCUUUAUAUCAUAUAACAAAUGUAUUCAUUCUUUGCUAAGUAUACUAAAGAGAUCUGAAAUUCUUUGAAGGCAACAUUUUUUGUUUUAUGUAGA
rnacentral:lncRNA from 1 species